rnacentral:misc_RNA from 1 species
UGUUGUGGUUUUGUCGCACGGUUCUCCACCGUGCGACUCGCUCGCUGCGCCCUGCGCACCGGUUAUGUUAUAGUUGCAACAUGUGGUCUGCAGCAAGCUGCGCCGGGACCGCCAGUACCAGUACACAGUGUACAUAGUAAGCAGUCGCCCCGGAGCACAUCGGUGCAUUCACAAAGUGUAUUCUGCUGUAAUGAUCCUUCCGCAGGUUCACCUACGGAAA